GAUGAACGCUGGCGGCGUGCCUAAUACAUGCAAGUCGAGCGAACGGACGAGAAGCUUGCUUUUCUGAUGUUAGCGGCGGACGGGUGAGUAACACGUGGAUAACCUACCUAUAAGACUGGGAUAACUUCGGGAAACCGGAGCUAAUACCGGAUAAUAUUUUGAACCGCAUGGUUCAAAAGUGAAAGACGGUCUUGCUGUCACUUAUAGAUGGAUCCGCGCUGCAUUAGCUAGUUGGUAAGGUAACGGCUUACCAAGGCAACGAUGCAUAGCCGACCUGAGAGGGUGAUCGGCCACACUGGAGGGGAGACACGGUCCAGACUCCUGCGGGAGGCAGCAGUAGGGAAUCUUCCGCAAUGGGCGAAAGCCUGACGGAGCAACGCCGCGUGAGUGGUGAAGGUCUUCGGAUCGUAAAACUCUGUUAUUAGGGAAGAACAUAUGUGUAAGUAACUGUGCACAUCUUGACGGUACCUGAUCAGAAAGCCACGGCUAACUACGUG
rnacentral:rRNA from 1 species